CCCUUAGAUGUUCUGGGCCGCACGCGCGCUACACUGAUGCAUUCAACGAGUCUAAAACCUGGUCUGAUAGGGCUGGGUAAUCUUUUGAAUGUGCAUCGUGAUUGGGAUAGAUGAUUGCAAUUCUUCAUCUUCAACGAGGAAUGCCUAGUAAACGCAAUUCAUCAGCUUGCAUUGAUUACGUCCCUGCCCUUUGUACACACCGCCCGUCGCUCCUACCGAUUGAAUGUUCCGAUGAAUACCAUGGACUGAGAGUAUGAAUGGGUUCGCCUAUUUCUGCUUCUCGGGAAGUGGAGUAAAUCUUAACAUUUAGAGGAAGGAGAAGUCGUAACA
rnacentral:rRNA from 1 species